rnacentral:rRNA from 1 species
AACGAACGCUGGCGGCAGGCUUAACGCAUGCAAGUCGAGCGCCCCACAAGGGGAGCGGCAGACGGGUGAGUAACGCGUGGGAGCCUACCUUACGGUCGGGAAUAGCUCAGGGAAACUUGGGGUAAUACCGGAUACGCCCUUACGGGGAAAGAUUUAUCGCCGUUAGAUGGGCCCGCGUAGGAUUAGCUAGUUGGUGAGGUAAUGGCUCACCAAGGCGACGAUCCUUAGCUGGUCUGAGAGGAUGAUCAGCCACACUGGGACUGAGACACGGCCCAGACUCAUACGGGAGGCAGCAGUGGGGAAUAUUGGACAAUGGGCGCAAGCCUGAUCCAGCCAUGCCGCGUGAGUGACGAAGGCCUUAGGGUUGUAAAGCUCUUUUGGCGGGGAAGAUAAUGACGGUACCCGCAGAAUAAGCUCCGGCUAACUUCGUGCCAGCAGCCGCCGUAAAAC